rnacentral:rRNA from 1 species
GAUGAACGCUGGCGGCGUGCUUAACACAUGCAAGUCGAACGAAGCAUUUAGGACAGAUUACUUCGGUUUGAAGUUCUUUAUGACUGAGUGGCGGACGGGUGAGUAACGCGUGGGUAACCUGCCUUGUACUGGGGGAUAGCAGCUGGAAACGGCUGGUAAUACCGCAUAAGCGCACAAUGUUGCAUGACAUGGUGUGAAAAACUCCGGUGGUAUAAGAUGGACCCGCGUCUGAUUAGCUAGUUGGUGAGAUAACAGCCCACCAAGGCGACGAUCAGUAGCCGACCGGGGAGGGUGACCGGCCACAUUGGGACUGAGACACGGCCCAGACUCCUACGGGAGUCAGCAGUGGGGAAUAUUGCACAAUGGAGGAAACUCUGAUGCAGCGACGCCGCGUGAGUGAAGAAGUAAUUCGUUAUGUAAAGCUCUAUCAGCAGGGAAGAUAGUGACGGUACCUGACUAAGAAGCUCCGGCUAAAUACGUG